rnacentral:snRNA from 1 species
GCGCUCACUUUGGAAGCACAUAUACUAAAAUUGAAAUGACACAGAAGAUUUGCAUAGCCCCUGCAAAAGGAUGAGAUGCAAAUUUGUGAAGUGUUCCAUGAAAAA